rnacentral:misc_RNA from 1 species
AACGCACAUUGCGCCCUUUGGUAUUCCGAAGGGCAUGCCUGAUCGAGCGUCAUUAUCACCCCUCAAGCCCCCGGCUUGGUGUUGGACGGCUUGGUGAAGACCCUUUUUGUGGCCCACCCCUCCCAAAGACAAUGACGGCGGCCUCGUUGGACCCCCGGUACACUGAGUUCUUCACGGGACACGUAUCGGACACACGGGUUUACGGGUCACGGUCUGCCUCCCCUCAGGGAGAACUUUUCUAAGGUUGACCUCGGAUCAGGUAGGGAUACCCGCUGAACUUAA